rnacentral:rRNA from 1 species
UAAUGGGCACAGGAGGUAACGCUAAACCAGCCAAAUCCCGUGGAGUUUGACUGUCCUAGGGGUUGUAAACUUAUUUUUUAAGGGAAUACAGUGAGCCGCGUGUGGCUGUUUGUAUGUACCUUACCAAUAAGGAUCGGAUAACUCCGUGCCAGCAGCCCCGGUAAUACGGAGGGUCCGAGGGUUAUCCGGAUUUAUGGGGUUUAAAGGGUGCGCAGGCGGAAUAUUAAGGCGGCGGUGAAAGUUUGCAGCUUAACUGUAAAGAUGCCGUUGAUAAUGGUAUUCUUGAGUGUAAAUGAAGUCGGCGGAAUUUGAAGUGUAGCGGCGAAAUGCAUAGAGAUUACGAGGAACUCCGAUUGCGAAGGCAGCUUACUAAAAUACAACUGACACUUAGGCACGAAGGCGUGGGGAUCAAACA